UACGUAGGGUGCGAGCGUUGUCCGGAAUUAUUGGGCGUAAAGAGCUUGUAGGCGGUUUGUCGCGUCUGCCGUGAAAAUCCGGGGCUCAGCCCCGGACUUGCGGUGGGUACGGGCAGACUAGAGUGUGGUAGGGGAGACUGGAAUUCCUGGUGUAGCGGUGAAAUGCGCAGAUAUCAGGAGGAACACCGAUGGCGAAGGCAGGUCUCUGGGCCACUACUGACGCUGAGAAGCGAAAGCGUGGGGAGCGAACAGG
rnacentral:rRNA from 1 species